AAACCAUGAUUUGGAGACCUCAUCAAGUACAGCUUGAACCUCUCCUGAGCUUCAUAUAGUUGUUUCCCCGGAAGUUGCAUAAACUCAAAAAAUUUGUCUCUGAGUUU